rnacentral:rRNA from 1 species
AUUGAACGCUGGCGGAAUGCUUUACACAUGCAAGUCGAACGGCAGCACGGACUUCGGUCUGGUGGCGAGUGGCGAACGGGUGAGUAAUGUAUCGGAACGUGCCCAGUCGUGGGGGAUAACGUAGUGAAAAUUACGCUAAUACCGCAUACGAUCUAUGGAUGAAAGCGGGGGAUCGCAAGACCUCGCGCGAUUGGAGCGGCCGAUAUCAGAUUAGGUAGUUGGUGGGGUAAAGGCCCACCAAGCCAACGAUCUGUAGCUGGUCUGAGAGGACGACCAGCCAAACGGAAACGGAGACCCGGCCCAGACUCCUAGGGGAGGAAGCAGUGGGAAAUUUUGGACAAGGGGCGAAAGCCUAAUCCAGCCAUUCCGCGUGCAGGUUGAAGGCCCUCGGGUUGUAACCUGUUUUUGUACAAAACGAAAAGGUUUCUACUAAUACUAGGAGCUCAUGACGGUACUGUAAGAAAAAGCACCGGCUAACUACGUGCCAGCCCCCGCGGUAA